AGUGAACGCUGGCGGUAGGCCUAACACAUGCAAGUCGAACGACAGCACAGUAAGAGCUUGCUCUUACGGGUUGCGAGUGGCGGACGGGUGAGGAAUACAUCCGAAUCUACUUUUUCGUGGGGGAUAACGUAGGGAAACUUACGCUAAUACCGCAUACGACCUACGGGUGAAAGCAGGGGAUCUUCGGACCUUGCGCGAUUGAAUGAGCCGAUGUCGGAUUAGCUAGUUGGCGGGGUAAGGGCCCACAAAGGCGACGAUCCGUAGCUGGUCUGAGAGGAUGAUCAGCCAAACUGGAACUGGGACACGGUCCAGACUCCUACGGGAGGCAGCAGUGGGGAAUAUUCGACAAGGGGCGAAGGCCUGAGGCAGAAAUACCGCGUGGGUGAGGAAGGCCUUCGGGUUGUAAGGCCCUUUUGUUGGGAAAGAAGAGCAGCAGGUUAAUACCCCGAUGUUCUGACGGUACCCAAAUAGUAAGCACCGGCUAACUUCGUG
rnacentral:rRNA from 1 species